CUUUUGUAUAAUGGGUCAGCGACUUAUAUUCUGUAGCAAGGUUAACCGAAUAGGGGAGCCGGAGGGAAACCGAGUCUUAACCGGGCGUUAAGUUGCAGGGUAUAGACCCGAAACCCGGUGAUCUAGCCAUGGGCAGGUUGAAGGUUGGGUAACACUAACUGGAGGACCGAACCGACUAAUGUUGAAAAAUUAGCGGAUGACCUGUGGCUGGGGGUGAAAGGCCAAUCAAACCGGGAGAUAGCUGGUUCUCCCCGAAAGCUAUUUAGGUAGCGCCUCGUGAAUUCAUCUCCGGGGGUAGAGCACUGUUUCGGCUAGGGGGCCAUCCCGGCUUACCAACCCGAUGCAAACUGCGAAUACCGGAGAAUGUUAUCACGGGAGACACACGGCGGGUGCUAACGUCCGUCGUGAAGAGGGAAACAACCCAGACCGCCAGCUAAGGUCCCAAAGUCAUGGUUAAGUGGGAAACGAUGUGGGAAGGCCCAGACAGCCAGGAUGUUGGCUUAGAAGCAGCCAUCAUUUAAAGAAAGCGUAAUAGCUCACUGGUCGAGUCGGCCUGCGCGGAAGAUGUAACGGGGCUAAACCAUG
rnacentral:rRNA from 1 species